AUUGAACGCUGGCGGCAGGCCUAACACAUGCAAGUCGAGCGGUAACACAGGGAGCUUGCUCCUGGGUGACGAGCGGCGGACGGGUGAGUAAUGUCUGGGAAACUGCCUGACGGAGGGGGAUAACUACUGGAAACGGUAGCUAAUACCGCAUAACGUCGCAAGACCAAAGAGGGUGACCUUCGGGCCCCUUGCCCUCAGAUGUGCCCAGAUGGGAUUAGCUAGUAGGUGGGGUAACGGCUCACCUAGGCGAAGAUCCAUAGCUGGUCUGAGAGGAUGACCAGCCAAACUGGAACUGAGACACGGUCCAGACUCCGACGGGAGGCAGCGGUGGGGAAUAUUGCACAAUGGGCGGAAGCCUGAUGGAGCCAUGCCGCGUGUAUGAAGAAGGCCUUCGGGUUGUAAAGUACUUUCAGCGGGGAGGAAGGUGUUGAGGUUAAUAACCUCAGCAAUUGACGUUACUCGCAGAAGAAGCACCGGCUAACUCCGUGCCAGCCGCCGCCGUAACAC
rnacentral:rRNA from 1 species